ensembl:lncRNA
CAGCAUAAAAGCGUGAACAAAUGUAGAUAUGUUCAGAAAAAAAAACAACAACAUUAGAACAAUGCUGCAAAGCCAUUGAUGGUAAUUGUAGCUCUAGGACAUCUACCAUAGGAAGUCAUUCCCUUUUUGCAGCAUCGUGGUUAAAUUUUGGACAGUUCCUCUUGGAAAAUCAUCCUCAAAGGUUGCAAUGAUCCCACUGACGGACUGACGAAUUCAAAACCCUCCAUAAAGUUUCAAUGAAAUUCAAGUCAGGAGACUGGCUCGGCCAUGCUAGGCGUCCUUGAGGUAUUUUGGCUGCGUGUUUGGGGUUGUUUCUUUCAGAUUCAGUUUUUUGGCUGAUGAGAUUCAGUUCUCCUCUACUGAACUCCUGGUACAUCGCUCCAUUCAUUUUUCAUUCGAAGAUUCGAAUGUCCCAGUACCACGCGCAGAGAAACGGGUCCAUGUCCUGACGCUACCACCACCGUGCUUCACAGUGACGACACUUCUUUCUCCAAACACGACAAGCUGAAGUUCCUGCUGCUUUCAGGUCAUCCUGCAACUCUAUUCGAGUGAUUACUGACGUCUCGCUCACCUUCCUUAUCAUUAAUCUGAGAGCAUGGUGUGAAAUCUUGCAUGGUGCACCUGUCCAGAGACGCUGUUUUUAGUCGUGCUUCCAUGACAUUUCCACUUAAAUAUGAUCCAACCAAUCGUAGUGACGGGGAUGUUUAAAGUCUUCGAGUUUUCUUUCCACUUGAGCUGUUGUUCCAGAAAACUUUAGGAAACGCCUUCACCUUUACCAGACCUUUACCGUACUUUUCGCCUGCAAUCUUCCCGACCAAUCCGAGGCGAGGAAAUUAGCAGAAGAACAUCUUUCUGUCUUAAACCAGCAUUUACAUCUCGAACCUGAAUUAUUUUUAUCUAACCUUUACAUCAAAAGAUGUUGUGUGUGUGUGUGUGUGUGUGUGUGUGAAUUUGAAGUGGAUAUAUGCACUAGAAAUAUAUUACUACAGAUCACCUUUUAGAUAUUCAUUUCUUGACUGCCGCCCGUUUGUUACUACCAUGCAGAUACAGGCCAAGACAUGUAUAUUUUUAUACAAACCUUCAAAGUAUAUGUCAAGUGAACAGACUUUCGCACAUUUUACUUUACAGUUUGAAGUAUCCGAUCAGGUUCGAUCGAGACUCACAUCAAUUCUUCAUCUGCCAGGACUGUCUCACGCUACACAAUGUAGUCAGAGCUGUAGCUAUCCGUGUGCGACGUGUAUGAAUAAGCCAUCGUUUAAGCGAUAUGUAAACAGCGACUCGUAUGUGAUGUGAGACAUCUCCUUUCUUUAUCUCUCUAAAAGGCAUGAACUUCAUCAAAGGAAAAGAAAGAAAAAAGUAUGUUGAGUUAAGUUUCGCUAAUGGCUAACCAAUAGAUAACAUAACUAGCUAAUGGUAAAUAUUAGUUAUUUCUAUGAUAUUUUAUUUGCUGUUUAACGCAUUAGCCCUACGUAGUGCUAGUCCUGCACAUGACUAGCAUAUCCAUCCGAUCAGUUUUGCAGCAUUUGACUAAAUCUAAGCAGAAUGUACAGCUCUAUACGCUUCAGAAUUCAUCCUGUUACUUAUAUCAGCAGUCACAUCAUCAAUAAACACCAGUGACCCAGUUCAACUGGCAUUCCCAUGCCAUAACACUUCCUCCACCAUGUUUGACAGAAGACGUGAUGUGCGUUGGAACACAAGCACUUCGUUUCAUUCUCCAAACUCUUCUCUUACCAUCGUUCCAGUACAAGUUAAUCAGGUUUUUUUUUUUGUUUAGGAAAGUCUAAUCUGGCCUUUCUGUUCUUGAGUCUUACCAGUGGUUUGCAUCUUAAGGUAAACCGUCCGUAUUUCCAUUCAUGAAGGCGUCUCUUGUUUGUAGACACAUCUGUCUCUUCGAGAGUGUUCUUGACUCGGCAAGACGUUGUGAAGCGGUUUUUCUUCAGUAAGAAAAGAAUCUAGGACCAUCCACUUUAUUUGUCUUCCGUGGUCUCCCAGGCCUUUUGGUCUUACUGAGCUCACCGGUGCAUUCUUUCUUUUUAAGAACGAACCAAAUUGUUGAUUUGGCCAGUCCUAAAGUUUCUGCUGUCUCUCUGAUAAGUCUGUUUUGUUCUUUCAGCCUGACAACGGCCUCCUUCACUUGCAUCGGCACCUCUUUGGACUGCAUAUUGAAAGUUCCCAUGAACAGCUACCAAAUGCAAAUUCAACACUUGGGAAUCCACUCCAGACCUUUUAUCUCCGUAAUUUGUCAUGAAAUAACGACAUGACCACACCUGGCCAUGAAACUGCAUAUCAGCCAAAUGCCCGAUGACUUUUGAGCCCGUGAAAAUGGAGGGACUCCGUAAAAUGGCUGGAAUUCCUGAACAGUUAAUGCAAUAUUUUGGUUAAACCCCUUGAACGUCUACACUUCGAUCACAUCUUUACUGCUUCAUUUCAGAUCUACCGUCAUGGUGUAGAGUGGGAAAAUUCCGCAAAAUUUCUCCCCUGGCCGAAUACUUAUGAACCUGACUGUACAGUUUACACAGGGAAAUACACUGCAAAAUUAACCGGGACAAUCUACCUCACCACAUUUGUCAGUGAGCUCAUGUCAACCCACAUCCCCUUUCCUCUCUCUCUCUCUCUUCCUGUAUUUACUUAGUUUGUUCAGUACAAAACAUUAAUUUCUGCUCAAUUUCAUCUGGUUGCAUUUUUAAUAAGCCUCUCUUAUGUACUAUGUAAGGAAUACAACACUGUUGGUAGUGCUGAUAGAAGAAAAUAAUUAACAACGAGCUGGCGUGAUGCAACCCGUCGUGCUGCGGAGUUUCUCUUUCCUCCCGGAAGUUGAUUAUUUCCUGACUAAACAGCACAUCCUGAGGUGUUGUAUUUCUCUAAUAUCACAGAUACGUGCCAGUGAUUGCAUUCUUUUGUAUUUAUUCAAGAAUGACACAUCAAACUUUUAUCCAUUUCUAGUUACUUUUAAUGUUGUGGAACAUCCUGUUAAACAGUAACUUACUAUUAUAACAGCGGUAAAUAGUUGUUCCUCCAUUUUCCCUUCAAGUUAAUAAAAACCAACCAACCAACAAACAAAAAAAGCUUCAAAUCACAACGCAUAAACUCCUCUGUCCGUGCGGCGAAACAGUUACAGCUUUACCUCUGACUGUUACAACACGCCGACACUGGAGACUCCUUCCAGACAUGUUAAAUAAACGUCUCCUUACAAAAAAAAAAAAAACUUCACCGUAAUCAACAAUUAUACGUUUUUCGGUAACACUAAUACUUGAAUUAAUACUUACUUAAAUAUGAACUCAUAAUGAGUUAAGGCAUGUAGUAAUCAGGAACUAAUGAAGAACUAGUGAUGUUUUUUUAUUUUUUAAAUUGUAGAAACAAUAAUGUGUUCCAACCAAUCAGAAACGAGAAUUCAACAGCGUUAUGGUAUACAUGGUUAUGGUACAGAAGGUGACAGAGUUUCAGUUCACCUACUGCUCAGUGAUAUUUUAUACGUGGACGAUCUGAAUGCCUUCAUACUCCUUAUAUGAAUCUAACUAUGUGACACCCUUUCACACAUUUUCUCUCUUCUUUUUUUCAGAAGGUUGUGUCCUCACGAGACAACCCGCGACGAAACGCUACAGUGAGAUUUUACGGGACUUCGAUAACUUGGAGCUGUCCUUAUGUUGCAGCCCGUACGUAAACCUACUGUCUGUUUACCUGAACAUGCUAAUGUGACUAACAGGAAGUUAACGUCAUUGCAGAGAAGAUUAGCACACUCUCACGCUAAAGGCUAAUAAUUCUUCUUGAAAGAUUGGUUCUCAAACGUGUGUAGUCGAAGACCCUCAUACUGGAUACAAUUUUCCUACGGUUUUGGAUUUUUCUUUUGCACUGUUGGCUCUUCCGUGGCAUUGCUUUCAUUUGACAGACAUGAUAAAUAUCAAUGUAAAUAGCAAGAGUGUGACAAAUCUGAAAUAAGUAAGGAAUAAGAUGCUUCGGGCUGCUGUGUUGUUAUUGGUUUACCUUCAAAUUCGAGGUGGUGUGCUGGAGAGGGUUUUGUUGGAGGGUUUUGGAGGGUUUUAGGGUUGGAGGGUUUUGGAGGGUUUUAGGGUUGGAGGGUUUUAU